AUACCGGAUUUUCGGCCUUCCGCAAACACUGCUACGACAAUUUACACACUCUUUCGGAGACCCCCCUCACUGUCCUCCUCCCCCAUCAUCUUUUCUCGGGCCUCGUGCGUUCUGAGGUCAAUAUGUCGCCAUGUCUGAGUCU
ensembl:ncRNA C46C11.5 ncRNA